AUCGAUAACCCGAUCGGGAUGUGGCGAUCAUUUUCGCUCUCUCGCAAAGCGUUUAGUUUAGGCGGAGUUUUAGUUUUUUUAUGAAUGUUUGAAUUGAUGUGGAAAGUGUGUGUUGCGACUUUAAUGGAUACGGAGCAGAGCGCGAAACGCUCAACGAGAUAGGCACCGUUUUCCUUACCGCGCUGCCGCUAAUAUUUGAUCUGUUGCCAGUUCAUUAUUUUCUGUUCUUUUGCGCCUCCUCCUGCACAUAACGGAUCUUU